UUGCCGAAGUUACUACAGCCUACAGUUUGCUAGCUAGCAAAGUCAUCGACUACCGUUGUUUAACAAGCUUUAUGGAAAAGAACAUUGUGACAUACAACAUGCAUGAAUUGGUUUGGUGCACCUCAGACAAGAUGCCAAAAAGUAUGAUGUCCUUGAUAACAUCUCAUGCUUCCCAUUUGAAAACUUCAUUGAGUGCUUGAAUAAACAAUAGGAGAAAGUCAUCGCUCAGUUAUUGCCCCUUGGACUCCCCUGGCACCUCGUGUACAGCAUGAAGUUUUCUGCUACGAAGAUUUCCAGAGACUCCAGAAUGAAAAACAAGCCCUGAGUGAAAGCAAUGCACCAGCAGCUUCAGAUGACAGCGGCUCACUUCGAGAGCAGAUGAAGCAAGUUGGGACAAUGUUGAAGACGUUUGCUCGCACUGGGCAAUCAGGUGCAGAUCAGACCCCAAUGCUGCAAUGUCUUGUAGAGUUUGGCGAUGUUGUGCGUAGCAUGGACAACAAAAUGGACACUAUGCUGCAACAUUUUCAGUGCCAAUGUGUCUGUUGGAGAGUUAUCCCUGCCAGGGGAUCUGUUACUCCCCCUAGACACCCAGGAAGAUUCGGCGUUACUUGACAACAGUAUGAGGCAGGAUAAAGAGCUCCAGGAACGAUUUGGACCUAAAGACAACCGUGUGGCGAAUGCUUCAGAGUAUCUUCUCUAAUCACCUUUCCAUCAAUACAAUCUGGACUGGUGUAGGGGAUAAAGCAUGUUUUAGAGACAUGUUCCUGAAGACCAUUGUUCAAAGCGAUCCAGGUUAACGUUACGCAUUACCUGAAAGGAGCAUCUGACCGUGAAGGUGGAAAAAGGCGCCG